GGGGAGUCUGGGCCAGGAGCGGCGAGAAUACGGAGGGUGCAAGCGUGUUGCGGAAUUAUUGGGCGUAAAGCGCGUGGAGGCGGAUUUGCAAGUCGGGUGUGAAAGCCCUCGGCGCAACCGAGGAAGUGCGCCCGAAACUGCAGAGCUUGAGUACCGGAGAGGAUGGCGGAAGUCCCCAAGUAGAGGUGAAAUUCGUAGAUAUGGGGAGGAACACCGGUGGCGAAGGCGGCCAUCUGGACGGAUACUGACGCUGAGACGCGAAAGCGUGGGGAGCAAACAGGAUUAGAUACCCCGGUAGUC
rnacentral:rRNA from 1 species